AUUGAACGCUGGCGGCAUGCCUUACACAUGCAAGUCGAACGGCAGCACGGGAGCAAUCCUGGUGGCGAGUGGCGAACGGGUGAGUAAUAUAUCGGAACGUGCCCAGUAGUGGGGGAUAACUGCUCGAAAGAGCAGCUAAUACCGCAUACGACCUGAGGGGGAAAGGGGGGGGAUCGCAAGACCUCUCGCUAUUGGAGCGGCCGAUAUCAGAUUAGCUAGUUGGUGGGGUAAAGGCCUACCAAGGCAACGAUCGGGAGUUGGGCUGAGAGGACGACCAGACACAGUGGGACUGAAACACGGAGCCGACUGCUACGGGCAGCAGCAGUGGGAAAUUUUGGACAAGGGGGGGAAGCCUGAUCGAGCAAGGCCGCGUGCAGGAAGAAGGCCUUCGGGUUGUAAACUGCUUUUGUCAGGGAAGAAAUCCUCUAGGUUAAUACCCUUGGGGGGAUGACGGUACCUGAAGAAUAAGCACCGGCUAACCACGUGCCAGCCGCCGCAGUAAAAC
rnacentral:rRNA from 1 species